rnacentral:rRNA from 1 species
AUGGCUUCCCCGUCCCAAUCCCCCUCCCCUCUCCACCCGCACCAGCUCCAGCAGCACCCGCUCCCCCCGCACCAGCACCCCCACCCGCAGUACCAGGCCCCGCCCCCUUCGAUGCCCCCCCCGCCGGGGGCGCCCCCCAAGGCCAUGGAUCUGGAGGUCACCGUCGUCUCGGGCAAGCACCUGAAGAACGUCAACUGGCGCCGCGGCGAUCUCCGCGCCUACGCCGUCGCCUACCUCGAUCCCUCCCGCCGCACCGCCACCCGCCCCGACGACGCCGGCGGCUGCAAGCCCGCGUGGAACGAGCGCAUCACCCUCCAGCUCCCGCCCCACCUCUCGCCGCACGACCCCUCGCUCCUCCUCUCCCUCGACGUCUUCCACUCCAAGCCGUCCGACUCGCCCAAGCCGCUCGUCGGCUCCGCCCGCUCACCUCUCCGCGACCUCCUCUUCCCCGCCAGCCCUAACCCUAGCUCCGAUUCCCCCGCCUCACCGAUCAUCACCCUCCCGCUCCUGCGCCCCUCCGGCCGCCCCCAGGGCAAGCUCCGCAUCCGCGUCGCCCUUCGCGAGCGCUCGCCUCCUCCUCCUGAGCCGCAGUAUCCACCUCCUUCCUCCUCCCCCUACUAUUUCCCAGCCCCUCCGCCUCCCACCUACUCGGCACCGCCACAGUACGGCUCGGACCAGUACUACCGUCCUAGUGGGUACUACUCUGCGCCACCACCGCCUCCAUCUCAGUACGAAUACACCACAGGGCCCUCUGCACCUGUGGAGUAUGGCAGACAGUAUGAGCAAAGAGGAAGGACUGAGGGUGUGACUGGGCAGUAUGAUCCCAGAAGGACUGAAGGUGUGACUGGGCAGUAUGAGCCAAAAGGAAGGACUGAGGGUGUGACUGGUCAGUAUGAUCAAAGAGGAAGGACUGAGGGGGCAACUCCGAGCGAAAGGUAUGGAUUAGGCGCUGGGCUUGCUGUGGGUGCAGUUGCUGGGGGCGUUGGGGCGCUUGCGAUUGAUGAAGGUGUGAAGUAUAAGGAGGAAAAGGCGGCAGAGAGGGUGGGAGAGAAGGUGGCUCCUGCCGCAAGGGACGAUUACAGCGAGUAUCGUCGAGAGUAUUGA